GCACCGGUAGCUCAGAGGCAGAGCGGCAGGCCCUUAACCUGCGCGACGGGAUUUCGAAAUUCCCCCGGUACA
rnacentral:tRNA from 1 species